AUUGAACGCUGGCGGCAUGCCUUACACAUGCAAGUCGAACGGUAACAGGUUAAGCUGACGAGUGGCGAACGGGUGAGUAAUGUAUCGGAACGUGCCCAGUCGUGGGGGAUAACUACUCGAAAGAGUGGCUAAUACCGCAUACGACCUGAGGGUGAAAGCGGGGGACCGUAAGGCCUCGCGCGAUUGGAGCGGCCGAUAUCAGAUUAGCUAGUUGGUGGGGUAAAAGCCCACCAAGGCGACGAUCUGUAGCUGGUCUGAGAGGACGACCAGCCACACUGGGACUGAGACACGGCCCAGACUCCUACGGGAGGCAGCAGUGGGGAACUUUGGACAAUGGACGCAAAUCUGAUCCAGCCAUGCCGCGUGCGGGAAGAAGGCCUUCGGGUUGUAAACCGCUUUUGUCAGGGAAGAAACGAGUUUCUCUAAUACAGAGACUUAAUGACGGUACCUGAAGAAUAAGCACCGGCUAACUACGUGCCAGCCGCCGCGGUAAAAC
rnacentral:rRNA from 1 species